rnacentral:rRNA from 1 species
UACGAAGGGGGCUAGCGUUGUUCGGAAUCACUGGGCGUAAAGCGCACGCAGGCGGAUUGGUAAGUCAGGGGUGAAAUCCCGGAGCUCAACUUCGGAAUUGCCUUUGAUACUGUCAAUCUCGAGUCCGGGAGAGGUGAGUGGAAUUCCUAGUGUAGAGGUGAAAUUCGUAGAUAUUAGGAAGAACACCAGUGGCGAAGGCGGCUCACUGGCCCGGUACUGACGCUCAUGUGCGAAAGCGUGGGGAGCAAACAGG